rnacentral:lncRNA from 1 species
CAUGGUUUUAUCUAGAAGGUUAUUUUGAUCGAAGGCUAAAAUUGGACUGAUAAUUAGAACAAAAAUGCAUUGAUCCAUUGAGCUUUUUCCCUUUUCCCUUCUAAGUAAUUAUGAUACUAAUUGUACUUGGCAAGAUCUUGAGGUUGUAAAUGUUGGUGGAGAACGGAAGCAGCUUCUGAAUAUAGCUAUGCAGCUUCGUAAAUGUUGUAGCCAUCUAUAUCUAUUUCAAGGUGCUGAACCGGGGCCACCUCAUACCACUAGCUAGUAUGUGCUCUUUUCCUUUUUGUUAUCAACAUUGUAAUUGCUUGGAGCUACACGUGAUUCCUAGAUCUCUUUAUUUUUGUUAUUUUAUGAAGUGAAUUCUUUAAUUGCUGGCAAAAUGGUUCUUUUUGACAAGUUACAUCCAAAAUUCAAGGAGGGUCUUGAUAUUCUCGCAGCUUCAUUUCCUUUCCUUACGAAUAUCGUAUAAUAGGUGUAGCAAAAAGUGAAAACGUUCAAAAAACUGGAGAAAAUGAUAGGACAUUAGAUGAUGAAAUAAAUGAGUUUAAGGUAGUUUUUUUUUUCAUAGUUAAUUUUUUCACUAUAUAAAGUCCAUUUACGUGUUCAAUUUUUAUUAUUGGAUUUGCAAGGAUAGGUGCAGGACAAUUGUCAAGUACUCUAGACCUUCCUACCCAAGGGACAUGUAAACAAAUUAGAACCUCUCAUAUCGUGCGUAAUACUCAAGAGAACAUUAGAGUUUUAUAUAAUUAACUGAGCAAAUGAGCCACAAGUUUUGGAGUCAAUAGUUGUUAGUUCAUGCUAUUGGAGUCAUCAUUCGGUCACAUUGUCCCCAAUGAAUAUGGUUUUUAGUUUAAAUUUAGGUAUAACCAUGCUUAGUGAAUGGUUUUUAUUUAUGUUUUGAUGAUAUGUUUCAGAUUCAAUGUUACAGUGAUUGACAUUACAUAUUUUAAUUAAUAUAGUCUUUUUGUAUCUCUAUAUUAUUUUGAAUAUCGUUAAAAGAUUACUAUGUAAAAAUAAUUUAAUUUUUUUUCAUAAUAUCUUGCAAACAUGCUUUCCCUACAAAAAAAAAAAUUAUUUGUAGAAAAAAACAGGGUUUAGCUUACAAAAUAAUCUAUACAUCUUGCCACAAAUUUCUAAUUGUUGGGAAAAUGUGUACGUUUUAGCCUGCAAUGUAAUUUGUAGGGAAAAACGAAAUUAUUUCAUGGACUAAAUUAACUUUAGGAGACAAACGAUUUUGUCGGGAAAAAACUUACGUGACGUAUUAUAUUUGUCUCCAAAGGGUUCAUAGGAAAAAACUUUAGCCAACAAAUUUCAAAAAUUUGUAUGCUAAACUCUUUCCCCUCGAUGUUUGCCCCACAAAUGUUCCUACAAAAUUUUUUUGUCUACUAAAGGUUUUCCCUACAAAUAAGAACUUUUCGCUACAAAUAAAUUUUGUAGGGAAAAGGUAAAAUUCUUGUAGUGAUUAAAUGAAACUAUUAUCUCAUGGCUAAUGUUUAAUAACAGAUGAUUGCAAGGCUAACUAAAUAAAGGACCUAACUUUAACUGUAAAGAAUGAUUCAAUUGUAAACACAGAAAGAGGCCCUUAAAAACAUGAGUUUUCUCUCCCAAGAAGCAGUAUAGGUGUCCCUGCUCUCGGCACAGGCAAUUAUCUGGCUUGAGAAUCCGACCUGGUCACUAAUAACCAUUUUGCCUUUGGACCCAAACCAACCCACCCACUGACACAUCCUUUUUGUUGUCAUGAGCAAAACGACCCAUGUUUCACAAUUCCGGAAAAGAAAAUGAGGUCUAUGAAAAACUUUGUAAAGUCGAGUCAUUACAUGUCAAGGGGCACACUCGACGAACCAAAAAAAAUCUCAAAUCCAAGAGUAAAUUUAAGUGCCCACCUCAAAAUAAAAAUAGAAAACGAUGUAUAUAUCAUACAUCAGGAAAAAAUGGAAUCUUAAUGACUGAGAAAAAAAGAUAAAGAUAAACAGUUGUUCUACAAAUAUAAUUGCUUACAUGCGAUUUUCUAAGGCUUCCUCAUUGCACAAAAUAACAUCUUUAAAGACUUUUUUCCACUCAAAAAAUUGAAGUCAUUCUCGAAAAUAUAUUUGUUUUACAUGUAUACAAAUAACAACUUUAAAAAUAGUGGCUUUCAUAUCAAAGAAUCUUCUUGCGGUUGCAGAAGAAGCACAAGGAAUCGGAGAAAGAAAGUGUGUGUGUGUUUAUAGGUAUAUUUUUUGAGGAAAUUUAUCUUGCACAGAAAAAAUUCUUAAAAGGCAAUUUUUUUCAGGAUUUUCCUUUUUAACAAAAGAACAUUUAAAACCCUUUAUCCCUAAAAAAUUCAUGACAAUUUUAAAAAUGUAUUUUUUUUUCCACAUAAAUACACACACACACAUGUAACAACGUUACAAAGAGAGGAUUUCACAUAAAAAAAUCUUCGUGUGGCUGCAGAGAAGUACAAGGAAAUAGGGAAAGAAGGAAUUUUGUGGAUGUGUGCAGUGUUUUUAUAUGUGCCUUUUUUUGGGGAAAUUGAUCUGAAAAAAUCUUAAAAGCAUUUUUUUUUUUUUUUCAGGAUUUCGCCUUUGUGCAAAAGAACAUUUAAAAACGUUUAUUUUCUCUAAAAACUUCAAGUCAAUCUUGAAAAUGUAUUUUUUUAAACAUAUAUACAUCUAACAACUUUAAAGAGAGAGGAGUUCACAUCAAAUAAUCUUUUCGUUGCUACAGAAGAAGUACAAGGAAACUGACAAAUAAAUACUUUUUGUUAGUGAUACGUGUGCGCGCUUAUGUGUACAUUUUUUUAGAAACCAAUCUUGUACAGAAAAAAAAAACUAAAUAGAUAAAUAAAUAAAGUCUUAAAAUGGAUUUUUACCAGACUUCCCUUUGUGCAAAAGAAUAUUAAAAAAACUUUAUUUCCUCUAAAAUAUUCAAGUUUAUCUUGAAAAUGUAUUUUUUUCACACAUAUACAUAAAACAACUUUGAAAACAUAGGAUUUCAUAUCAAAGAAUCUUCUUCUCUACAGAAGUACUAGAAAAAAGAGAAAAAAAAAAUUAAUUAUUUGCAGUGUGUGUGCAUUUCUGGGUGCUUGUAUGAAAGUAUUGAAAAAUGUAGAGAAAGAGAACACCAUAUAGUAAUGGUUAUGAUACGUACCUUUGGAUUCUUUUAUGCGAAAAUAGAGAGGAGAGGAGAGAAUGUGUCUAUAGACUAUAGAGAGAAGAGGUUCUCACUCAGAUGGAGAUAUGAAUAGAGAGAAUUAAAUUGUGUUGGGCGAUACAGUCUAGGAAAUGAAACGUGUCUAUUGACUAUCGAGAGAAGAGGCUAUAUAUGAAGUGAACUACAGAAAGAAAAAAAAAAAAUAUAUAUAUAUAUAUAUAGAGAGAGAGAGAGAGAGAGAGA